CCUACGGGAGGCAGCAGUGAGGAAUAUUGGUCAAUGGCCGCAGGGCUGAACCAGCCAAGUCGCGUGAGGGAUGACGGUCCUAUGGAUUGUAAACCUCUUUUGUCAGGGAGCAAAGGGCGCCACGUGUGGCGUUUUGCGAGUACCUGAAGAAAAAGCAUCGGCUAACUCCGUGCCAGCAGCCGCGGUAAUACGGAGGAUGCGAGCGUUAUCCGGAUUUAUUGGGUUUAAAGGGAGCGUAGAUGGGUUGUUAAGUCAGUUGUGAAAGUUUGCGGCUCAACCGUAAAAUUGCAAUUGAUACUGGCAGUCUUGAGUACAGUUGAGGUAGGCGGAAUUCGUGGUGUAGCGGUGAAAUGCUUAGAUAUCACGAAGAACUCCGAUUGCGAAGGCAGCUUACUAAACUGCCACUGACAUUGAUGCUCGAAAGUGUGGGUAUCAAACAGGAUUAGAUACCCUUGUAGUC
rnacentral:rRNA from 1 species